rnacentral:rRNA from 1 species
AAGGGCACCACAAGAACGCGUGGAGCAUGUGGCUUAAUUUGACUCAACGCGGGAAAUCUUACCGGGUCCGGACACACUGAGGAUUGACAGGCAAUAUCUAUUAAAAGAAUAUUAUUUUAAUAUCUCUUUUUAAUAGUGUUAAAUAUGCUAGUCCUUUCAUGAUUAUGUGAUAGGUGGUGCAUGGCCGUUCUUAGUUCGUGGAGUGAUCUGUCUGCUUAAUUGCGUUUCACUAAGGGCCCAUAAAUUCAAGGUAUGUUAGCUAUUGUUACCCUAUUGACCCCUUAUUCUUAUAAGCGCGUGUCUUUAUGGGUUUAAACAUUGCGCAUGCUGUUGGGUCCUGAAAGCAACGAACGUGACCGCAACGUCUUGUUGCCUUUAUCUUGUUAUAUCUAUUAUUUUAUAAUAGAAUAACAAGUUGUUAUAUCUAUUAUUUUUUAAUAGAAUAACUAACAGAGGCUAAUCUAAAACUAGACGGACCGCUGUUUCUUUCUUAAACCAGAGGAAGGUUGCGGCAAUAACAGGUCUGUGAUGCCCUUAGAUGUUCCGGGCUGCACACGUGCUACAAUGAUCAGUACAGUGAGCAUCUCACUUUAUAUACACCGUAUUUAGCGCUGAGAUAUGAUUAUUGGCUCUUUUAGGGUCUUUUAAUUGUAUUUCUUAUGCGCGCGGUAAAGCCUGCUUCGAGAGUAAGUGGGUAAUCCAUUGGAAGUAAUGAUUUCUCUUUUAUAUAGCACACCUAUAUACGGCAUUCAUUCCCGGGAUGACUAGUUUCGUCUUUUUUGUGCGAAUGUAAUGUAUUUCUUAUCCGUAUGUGCGAUUGUCAAUUCAUGGUGGGGACAGACCAUUGUUAAUUGUUGGUCUCGGUCUUAACUAGGAAUGCCUUGUACGGGUCUUUGGUUCAACAAACCACCCGGAAUACGUCCCUGCCCUUUGUACACACCGCCCGUCGCUCUUACCGAUGAACUUCUUUGUGAGUCUAAGGGACUGGGUUAAUAGCUAUUUUUAUAGUUAUAUACCUAUGGAAACUUAUACGAACAAUGUGGUUUAAAGGAAAGAGAAGUCGUAACAAGGCAACAGUAGGUGAACCUGCUGAUGGAUCAAAGGGCGAAUUCUGCAGAUAUCCAU